CCACUCUCCAGGGUUACCCUGCUGACGAGCCUGUGAAAGUCAGGCGAAAGAGUUG
rnacentral:hammerhead_ribozyme from 2 species